GACGAACGCUGGCGGCGUGCUUAACACAUGCAAGUCGAACGGAAAGGCCCUGCUUUUGUGGGGUGCUCGAGUGGCGAACGGGUGAGUAACACGUGAGUAACCUGCCCUUGACUUUGGGAUAACUUCAGGAAACUGGGGCUAAUACCGGAUAGGAGCUCCUGCUGCAUGGUGGGGGUUGGAAAGUUUCGGCGGUUGGGGAUGGACUCGCGGCUUAUCAGCUUGUUGGUGGGGUAGUGGCUUACCAAGGCUUUGACGGGUAGCCGGCCUGAGAGGGUGACCGGCCACAAUGGGACUGAGAUACGGCCCAGACUCCUACGGGAGGCAGCAGUGGGGAAUAUUGCACAAUGGGCGGAAGCCUGAUGCAGCAACGCCGCGUGCGGGAUGACGGCCUUCGGGUUGUAAACCGCUUUCGCCUGUGACGAAGCGUGAGUGACGGUAAUGGGUAAAGAAGCACCAGCUAACUACGUG
rnacentral:rRNA from 1 species